rnacentral:rRNA from 1 species
GAUGAACGCUGGCGGCGUGCCUAAUACAUGCAAGUCGAGCGAACAGACGAGGAGCUUGCUCCUCUGACGUUAGCGGCGGACGGGUGAGUAACACGUGGAUAACCUACCUAUAAGACUGGGAUAACUUCGGGAAACCGGAGCUAAUACCGGAUAAUAUAUUGAACCGCAUGGUUCAAUAGUGAAAGACGGUCUUGCUGUCACUUAUAGAUGGAUCCGCGCUGCAUUAGCUAGUUGGUAAGGUAACGGCUUACCAAGGCAACGAUGCGUAGCCGACCUGAGAGGGUGAUCGGCCACACUGGAACUGAGACACGGUCCAGACUCCUACGGGAGGCAGCAGUAGGGAAUCUUCCGCAAAGGGCGAAAGCCUGACGGAGCAACGCCGCGUGAGUGAUGAAGGUCUUCGGAUCGUAAAACUCUGUUAUUAGGGAAGAACAAAUGUGUAAGUAACUAUGCACGUCUUGACGGUACCUAAUCAGAAAGCCACGGCUAACUACGUG